GAUGAACGCUGGCGGCGUGCCUAAUACAUGCGAGUCGAGCGAACGGACGAGAAGCUUGCUUUUCUGAUGUUAGCGGCGGACGGGUGAGUAACACGUGGAUAACCUACCUAUAGGACUGGGAUAACUUCGGGAAACCGGAGCUAAUACCGGAUAAUAUUUUGAACCGCAUGGUUCAAAAGUGAAAGACGGUCUUGCUGUCACUUAUAGAUGGAUCCGCGCUGCAUUAGCUAGUUGGUAAGGUAACGGCUUACCAAGGCAACGAUGCAUAGCCGACCUGAGAGGGUGAUCGGCCACACUGGAACUGAGACACGGUCCAGACUCCUACGGGAGGCAGCAGUAGGGAAUCUUCCGCAAUGGGCGAAAGCCUGACGGAGCAACGCCGCGUGAGUGAUGAAGGUCUUCGGAUCGUAAAACUCUGUUAUUAGGGAAGAACAUAUGUGUAAGUAACUGUGCACAUCUUGACGGUACCUAAUCAGAAAGCCACGGCUAACUACGUG
rnacentral:rRNA from 1 species